GCCGGAGUGGUGGAAUGGUAGACACGCACGACUCAAAAUCGUGUGAGGCAACUCAUGAGGGUUCAAGUCCCUCCUCCGGCA
rnacentral:tRNA from 1 species